AGGGCCUAUGGUGGGUUUCUCAGUAGGCCGAGUCUUUCUAUAAAAUCUCUUGGAAUCUAGUAGCCCUGCUGUCAAUGGCAGCUGGCUUUAAAGGUUUUUUUUUUUUUUUUGUUUUUCCCGUUCUCUUUUUUUGGCCCUGCCUGCCUCCCCCGUCUUUUCUGCUAUCACUCAUUUAUUUCUCUAUUAGGAUCUUGGUUUAUUAUUGCUUUUGCUAGGGUAGGGGUAAAUGAAUUGAUUUAUGCCCCUCCCCCUUCCCUCAGCGGAAACGUCUGGAGGAGGAGGAGCCUGGCCUGGCUCUAGGGGUUGAGGGCGGGGUUGAGGGCGGAGCCAAGUCAGUACUGGAUGUCCUGCCAAAGACACAUUCUUCAGAGAUGUAUCACGCUUGUCUCCCUCCCUCCUUCGCCCUUGUCAUCUCUCAAGCUGGAUUCAAAGCAGGUCUGCCGAAGCCAGCUCCUACACCAAGAUCCAGGGACGGCUAUAAUCCGAGACCGAGUGUAUUCAGGGCCACCACUGAUGUGACGGUAAAACAAUCAAUGGGAUCUAUCUUCUCUGCUUCCCAAAUAAACACGGUCCACCCAGCUGUGUGUCAUUUACACCAAAUUCAGACUUUUAAGACCAAAGACACAUCUUUUUUUUUUUUUUCCUCCACCAGGGAUUUUCCAUCUUUUUAAAUGUUAUUUAUUUUUAGAGAGUGAGCACACGCGAGAGCACAUGCACAAGCCAGGGAGGUGCAGAGAGAGGGAGAAUCCCAAGCAGGAUCCGUGCUCAGCGUGGAGCCUGAUGCAGGGCUCAAUUCCAGGACUGUGAGUUCAUGACCUGAGCUGAAAUCAAGAGUUGGGCUGAGCCACCCAGGCUCCCCUUGUUAUUUUUAUAUAAGGCCACAAAUGGAAGAAACUGAAGAGAUACAUUCAGUGGCUAUGUAUGAUGAAGGGGAAGGUAGGCAGGGGAGGAAAUGAGAAGAAAAAAAAUGACCUAAACCUCCCCACCCUCCCCCUGCACUCCUGGAAGUUCUUUCCCAACUCCAUGCUUCUGUGCAUGUUUGUUUCCUACUCAUUCUUUAAGGUUCAACCUCAAAUGUUUCUUUUGAACCCUUGACCAUCUGCUUCCAGAAGUGGUCACCCUGCUUUGUUCCACCCUUUAUCUUAGAAUAUCUUUAUCAUAGCACUUCAUGAAAUGUACUCUAAUUAUUUUCAUCCAUAGUUAUCACUCCUACUAGAUUGUAAGCCAGUAAGCCAUCUUGGCACAAUUGCUUUCUCAUUAUAUGGUUUUGUGAUACAUUCAACUCUUCAGCCUGAGAACAUUCUCUUAUAUAACUAUACUACAAUACACUCAAGAAAUGUAACAUGAUACAGUACCAUUUAACUUACUGCCCAUAUUAACAUUUCCCUAAUUGUGCACACUAGAGCUUUUUUCACCAAGGGUCCAAUCAAAGAUCUACCAUUAGUUGCCAUGUGUCUUCCCACUGUUCCUUUUUUCUUAAGUAGGCUCCAUGCCCAAUGUGGGGCUUGAACUCACAACCCUGAGAUUAAGAGUCGCAUGCUCCACUGACUAAGCCAGGCAGACGCCCUUUUCCCUAGUUUUUUUUUUCUGACAGAAUUUGAGGGAAAGAAUUAUUCUCUUUAUAAUUCCAGCAUCCAACAGUGCAAGGUAAAUAGCAAGUAGUUCACUGACAUGUAAUGGAUGAAGAGACUCAACAAACAUCUGGCUACCUAGAGCUCAUUAAAUGUCCCAGCUCAUUACACAGUUGAAACGUUCUUCCUAAACUUCUUACUAAACGGACAGUAAUCCUUGAACAGGAAAUAGGAAGGCAAAGUGAGUUAAGAAUACAGAGACCAAUGGCAGAAAUAAGACCUGGAAAUGGAUGCUUGGAAGGGGUAAAAUCUGGAGUAGCUUUCUUGGCCCUCACAGAUUUCCCACCAGUUAAGAAUUACUAUUCUAUUCAGGUAAAGAAAGGAACUGCAAAGGGAAACCAGGUAUGCUGUGGGUACAAAAACCUGCCACAGGUACCCUUUUUACCUCACAAGAAUUAUUAGUAAAGAACACUGAAUUCUCAGCUCACCUGGCUAACGUCAGUUGGUAGAGCAUGGGACUCUUGAUCUCAGGGUUGUGGGUUCGAGUCCCAUGUUGGGUGUUGAGAUUACUUCAUCUUUUAAGUAGGCUCCACGCCCAACGUGGGACUUGAACUCAUGACUCUGAGAUCAAGAGUCGCAUGUUCUAUCAACUGAGCCAGGUAGGCGCCCCAAAAAUAAAAUCUUAAAAAAGAAAAAAAAAACCCCACUGAAUUCUUAGGUCUGUUUCAUCUGCCUGGAGACAGAUUCCCAACCCCCUUCUUUCCACAUGCUUCACAUAACUAAGAUAACACUGUAACAACUCUGAAACCAAAGGUCUAAGUUUUCAAAUCUGGAAACUGAGAAGCCUUUGAACAGUGUGGUAGGGUUCAGAAGACAAAGUUCUGUAAUCAAUGAACAAGUGGGGCCAAAAAGAGCUAGGAAUAAUUUAAGAUAGAUCAUCUUGAACUCCAGGAAUAAACCACCCAUGCUCUGGGAAUCUGGCUGGAUCCAUGCUACACACCAGUUGUACAAGUUACUUCACUUUAACUUUUGUAAAACCCACCAGCUGUCACAACUGCUUUAAAAUUUUCUGAAAGGAAAUUAUAUGAAGCAAGAGGUAGCUCUAAAGUCACAAAAACAGGAACUGAAAGACAAAGUCUUGGUUGUGUCAAAUGAAGGGAAGUGUUGAUUAUUUUGACUCCCUCGGUGACUCAUGUUACCUGGUUACCAUUUGAGCCAAGUUUUUAAGGUGUUAAACUAAGGAACAUGACCACAGAAAUGGCCUCACAUCACAAUCUAUCAAUGGGAGCAAUAGCACUGUGUACAACUCAGCUGGGGCCAGGAUUUGGGCCCUUGGGUCCUAAGCUACCCUCCCCUCAAUUUUCUGCUUAGGAGUGCAUUAGUAUGUAACCACUUUCUUUGUAAGGAUAAAAAGUUGCAUUCUUCUGGUAGUCAGGCUCCAGAAAAAGAGGAGCUUCCAAGCAGAAAACUGCUUCUAAGUGCACAAAAGCACAGAAUCCUGUUCAUACAAUUGGCAUCCGGUGCUCAGGGCUUUUAAAACCAAUAUGCAAACUUCAUAUUUGCACAUUGCCAUGGUGAUUCAGCUCCCUUUCUUUCAAGGUAGUUGAAGACAAGAUAGAGUUUCUGAAAUUCAAGUGCUUACUCUCCACUUCCUUUUUGAGAGAGGAAAGAGGAAAAGUACUGAAACAGUACCAAGAAUCUUAUCAAAACUCUUAAACUGUGGAUAUUAAUUCUUCUAGCUCCUUCAUCUGAAAAGGUUGAGAUGGGGAGAUACAGUAAAUGCAGUAACGAAACAGCUUACCUCAAAAUUAUACCAGCACAUGGUGACUAAAAGAAAAAUCAGGAUUUUUGAUUCUCACUUAAAAUGUAGAAGAAUUACUCCAAAGUACCACAGUAAUACAUUUCAAAACUCAACACCCCUGAUUUCAAUGAAAUGGUUACUCUGAAGGGAACUAUCCUUUGCCCGAGAGCAAAUUAGCUUUAUGGGGCUUUUGCUGGUCAACUCACCUAUACUUAUUUGCUCAGCUGACUUCCCUAAAAAGGCCUAAGUGGGGGGAAGAAGACAAUAAUCGAUUAGAAAACAUCCAUACCACACCUUGCAUUUGAAUAAAAGGUUUAUUAUUUUCUUCUCAGGAAAAACAGGAAGUCAGGGAAACACACUACAUUUUACAGCCCAUGUUAAUUUGUAGUUGGUCCUAACCCUUCCUGGCACAGCUGUCAAUAGCAUGAGCUCUUUAACCAGAACCAAGAUGUUCGCCCCCAACAGAGUGUGCACGGACACUACAGGACUGCAUGUUUUCCCUGAGAGACAGAAGACAAGUUGCUGAGAGCCAGCUUUCCACACAACCCUCCCCUUCCAUUCUGGAGGAUUUGCCUGAUCUAUGCAGCUAGCCAGCACUGAGGACACGUGCCUCCUCUCCCUACAAAACCACCCAACCUUCCCCAAAGCACUUGGGCUAAGCCCUCCAAGCCCCUGACCCAAAGUUUCAACUAAGAUCCUUCUCUAUAUUUCAGCAGUCACACCUAGAAAAUUGGGGUGGGUUCCCUAAACUCCACCAAUCUCCAUCUAUGCGCUUAUUUCCACAAGUGGAUAUGGGGAGACAGGCCUUUUAGUCACCUUUACCAGAUCUUCAGAUUAAUUAAAAACUACAUAAAGUGCUUUCAGGUCCUUAGAGAUAGACAUGACAUAAAUAAGUGGUUCAUGAUCAAGAACGAUAAAUACAUAGGUAAAAAUAGCUCUAGCUAGAUGACCUUAUGGCUCAAGGAUGGGCAGGCAGGGCAAUCCUUCCCUAUUUAUUACAUUCUUAGUCAUUUUAUUCAUGCCUGUUUUCAUCUGGAGUCCACAGACCAAAGGUUACAUUCCAAGGAUGAAGCUUUCAAAUGACCCUAGAUCCACUACAGAAGCUUUCUUCAGUUUACCAGUUUUUAUAGAACUCUGAGGUCUAACAGAACCCAUCCCUUUCUGUAAUUUUAAAUGAGCUUUUUCAAACAUAAAGGAACCUAGAGAAAGUCACACCAUUUGUUGUCCCCCUUCUCUGAAAAUUCCUAAAGGGACUUUAAAAACUUUUCCCCCAAAGAUAGGAUAAAGCAGUAACUGAAAAGGUACCAAUCAAAGGAAAAGGGACUUCUCCACCAUAUGUCUCUCAUGGUCAUGGCACCCACUGUACUACCUACCACCUCCCAAGGAUAAAAUUCAUUAAGGAUGAAGGUCUGUCUGUGGUCUCCUGGGGGGUUACUUAGGGUUCAUAGUGCCAAAAACUAAAAGGGCCAGUAGGAGUUCAGAGAUGGCAUGGUAAGGAUGUAGGAAUUGAUAUAACUAUUUGUACAGGGAGAACAAGCAGCAAAUACUUCAAGGAAGUAUAGAAAAUAAACAGUAAGUUUGAUAAAACAUCAAGCCUGAAAUCCAAAGAGAUGCCAAUGCAAAAAUUUGAACAAAGUUUGGGAAUCAUUAAUAGAAAUGAAACAUAAGUAUUUGUUUUAUUGAUAGGCUUAGACCUGUGUUUAACAAGCAAGCCUAAUAAUAGCACCAUGGUUAGACUAUAAGCCUGCUUUUCCAAGCCAUUUUACAAUUUAUUAAGCAAACAAGGGAUCAAAUGUCUCUCAUACACCUGAUGUGAUCUUUUUAUACACAUACUGCUAGUAUGUCCCAUUUGGAACAGCUGAAAAUCUUUUAGCAAAAGCUUUGAAGAUGAGCUCAUAAACUCAAUUUAAAUUUCACCACUAAAUUAACUCAAAUGGAAAGAACUGAAAUGAGUAGCUGCCCAAUCAGAACCCAUUAUUUCUAAGUCACCAGCCGGCACCGCCCACCAAACUUAAAACUCCACCUUGACUCACUUAUUGAAAACCUACAUGUAAUGAAGUGAAAGGAUGAAUUUCCAUUCAAUUUUUCAAUCGCAGUUAAAAAAAAAAAAUCUAAGGAAUACUUAC